rnacentral:rRNA from 1 species
GACGAACGCUGGCGGCGUGCCUAAUACAUGCAAGUUGAGCGCUGAAGGUUGGUACUUGUACCAACUGGAUGAGCAGCGCACGGGUGAGUAACGCGUGGGGAAUCUGCCUUUGAGCGGGGGACAACAUUUGGAAACGAAUGCUAAUACCGCAUAAAAACUUUAAACACAAGUUUUAAGUUUGAAAGAUGCAAUUGCAUCACUCAAAGAUGAUCCCGCGUUGUAUUAGCUAGUUGGUGAGGUAAAGGCUCACCAAGGCGAUGAUACAUAGCCGACCUGAGAGGGUGAUCGGCCACAUUGGGACUGAGACACGGCCCAAACUCCUACGGGAGGCAGCAGUAGGGAAUCUUCGGCAAUGGACGAAAGUCUGACCGAGCAACGCCGCGUGAGUGAAGAAGGUUUUCGGAUCGUAAAAAUCUGUUGGUAGAGAAGAACGUUGGUGAGAGUGGAAAGCUCAUCAAGUGACGGUAACUACCCAGAAAGGGACGGCUAACUACGUG